rnacentral:rRNA from 1 species
AGAAUCAACGCUGGCGGCGUGCCUAACACAUGCAAGUCGAACGAGAAAGUGGAGCAAUCCAUGAGUACAGUGGCGUACGGGUGAGUAACACGUGACUAACCUACCCUCGAGUGGGGAAUAACCUCGGGAAACCGGGCUAAUACCGCAUAACAUCUUCGGAUCAAAUGCGUAAGCAGCUUGAAGAGGGGUCGCGGCUGAUUAGCUAGUUGGCGGGGUAAUGGCCCACCAAGGCUUUGAUCGGUA